UACGGGGGGGGUAAGCGUUGUUCGGAAUUACUGGGCGUAAAGGGCUCGUAGGCGGCCAACUAAGUCAUACGUGAAAUCCCUCAGCUUAACUGGGGAACUGCGUGUGAUGCUGGAUGGCUUGGAUUUGGGAGAGGGAUGCGGAAUUCCAGGUGUAGCGGUGAAAUGCGUAGAUAUCUGGAGGAACACCGGUGGCGAAGGCGGCAUCCUGGACCAAUAUUGACGCUGAGGAGCGAAAGCCAGGGGAGCAAACGGG
rnacentral:rRNA from 1 species